CGUACAAGGUCUCCGUUGGUGAACCAGCGGAGGGAUCAUUACCGAGUUUACAACUCCCAAACCCCUGUGAACAUACCUUAAUGUUGCCUCGGCGGAUCAGCCCGCGCCCCGUAAAACGGGACGGCCCGCCAGAGGACCCAAACUCUAAUGUUUCUUAUUGUAACUUCUGAGUAAAACAAACAAAUAGAUCAAAACUUUCAACAACGGAUCUCUUGGUUCUGGCAUCGAUGAAGAACGCAGCAAAAUGCGAUAAGUAAUGUGAAUUGCAGAAUUCAGUGAAUCAUCGAAUCUUUGAACGCACAUUGCGCCCGCUGGUAUUCCGGCGGGCAUGCCUGUUCGAGCGUCAUUUCAACCCUCAAGCCCUCGGGUUUGGUGUUGGGGAUCGGCUCUGCCUUCUGGCGGUGCCGCCCCCGAAAUACAUUGGCGGUCUCGCUGCAGCCUCCAUUGCGUAGUAGCUAACACCUCGCAACUGGAACGCGGCGCGGCCAUGCCGUAAAACCCCAACUUCUGAAUGUUGACCUCGGAUCAGGUAGGAAUACCCGCUGAACUUAAGCAUAUCA
rnacentral:rRNA from 1 species